rnacentral:rRNA from 1 species
AGUGAACGCUGGCGGCAGGCCUAACACAUGCAAGUCGAACGGCAGCACAGGAGAGCUUGCUCUCUGGGUGGCGAGUGGCGGACGGGUGAGGAAUAUAUCGGAAUCUACCCUUUCGUGGGGGAUAACGUAGGGAAACUUACGCUAAUACCGCAUACGAACUGAGGUUGAAAGCGGCGGACCGCAAGGCGUCGCGCGGAUGGAUGAGCCGAUAUCCGAUUAGCUAGUUGGCGGGGUAAAGGCCCACCAAGGCGACGAUCGGUAGCUGGUCUGAGAGGAUGAUCAGCCACACUGGAACGGAGACACGGUCCAGACUCCUACGGGAGGCAGCAGUGGGGAAUAUUGGACAAUGGGCGAAAGCCUGAUCCAGCAAUGCCGCGUGUGUGAAGAAGGCCUUCGGGUUGUAAAGCACUUUUGUCCGGAAAGAAAUGGCUCUGGUUAAUACCUGGGGUCGAUGACGGUACCGGAAGAAUAAGGACCGGCUAACUACGUGCCAGCCGCCGCCGUAA